rnacentral:rRNA from 1 species
GACGAACCGUGCGAACGUUGUUCGGAAUCACUGGGCUUAAAGGGCGCGUAGGCGGCUCGCCAAGUCCGGGGUGAAAGCCUCCAGCUCAACUGGAGAAGUGCCUUGGAUACUGGCGGGCUCGAGCGAGGUAGGGGCGGGUGGAACUUCCGGUGGAGCGGUGAAAUGCGUUGAUAUCGGAAGGAACGCCGGUGGCGAAAGCGACCCGCUGGACCUCUUCUGACGCUGAGGCGCGAAAGCUAGGGUAGCGAACGGG